rnacentral:lncRNA from 1 species
CUCAUUUUCUCCAUUUCCCUGUCUGUAACAAAUGCUGAGCUUCUGAUGCUGUGUCUUGGGCCAGGUAAAAGUAUGUACUCCUAAAAUCAUCUCCUGACAAAAGUGGUUUGGUAAAAUUCUUAGGGACACACACAGGGUGGCCCCAGAUCUCAAGGAAAUCCUUAGAAAUUACUUACAAAUAUAAUCUCAGUGAACUCCCCCAGACCCAGGGUAUCACUUAUCCCAAGGAAAAUGUCUAGAACAUUCCCACAGGAUGUAAGUGAAGGAUCUAGAAUGUGGAGCAUGAAUACUCUGUGCAGGGAACCAGGCAGCUUCCACCCUAUAGUAUAGAAUCCAAGGUAGAGCACACGGGGCCACAGAGGCCAGAGACCUUAUCUGCUUAUUUGUAGCACAGUGUUCCUGACAGACUGAGCAGCAUGAGGCUUGGGUGUCUGCAGGCUAACAUCUGUACCUUCUCAGGCACCACUGUGUACCCCAGCCCAUGACAGUGUAUAUCUAGUCUCAUCUGACCCAGCACCUGAGAGCCCAGGUUUCAGAGAGCCUCACAUACAAACAAUAUAAUAUCAAUGGUAGCUGGAUUCAUCAGGUGUUUUCUGUGUUCUAGGUGCCGCUUUAAGGGUUUUCCCAUGCAUUAACUCCCUUAAACCUCGCAGCAACUGUUCGUUAUAUUUGACAAAGAAACUGAGUUUCAGAGAGGUGUAGGCUGUUACCCAAGACCACUUGCUUGUCAUAGGUGGAGACAAGUUGAACCAGUCUGGCUCUAGUGCUUUCACUGUUCAGGGGACACGGCCCAGUAGGAUGCAUAGGAGCCUCUGGCGGCCAGAGCAGAGAGGUCAUCUGCGGACCAGUCAGACUCCUGGAUCUGGUUUCUCCCUGUUGGGGCCAGCUGUGCCCACUGCUUCAGGGAGGGGACCACUGCCCUGUUGUGUUGCCCAAGUUUGCCAGGAGGAUUAGCCUCUACCUCAUGUCAAAACAAGCCACCUGGGAAAAACCAGCCAACAACUCAUGACUCCAGAAGGGGCGGAAUCUCGGCUGCCAUGGCCCCAGCGGCCCAGGUUAUGGCCUGGUCAGAGGUGUAUAUUGCUGAGAGAGGGGUGCUGAGGACCCCUAACUUCACAGAUGAGGACACUGGUCUGGCCCACUAUGGUUCUCAGUCUCUAGUGGCCCACCUCUCUGUCCUCCAUUAUACUGAUGAAAUGGUGACCUGAUGACCCAUGGCAGCCUAGAGGCCCAGAGCCUUGCCCCAGUCUUGCCACAAGCUAGCUUCAGGACUCUGGGCAACUCUCAUUUCCCAUCUGUAGGAGAAGGAGGUUGGAUUUGAGUGGGGAUUUCCAAAAUAUCUUUUUUUUUUCUUUUAUUACAGUGGGGCAUUUUCUUCAAACAGUAUUACUGAUAGGUGCAGAACAUGAAACACUUAAAAUCAGAGAUAUAAGUUUGCAAAAAAGAAAGACAAGGAAAAAAAGAGGCAAGCAACCUGAGGCAGCCUGCAGUGUCCCUUGAUUCCUGCCUCUUGGGUCUCCUUCCUUUCUUAUUGAAGACUUUAAAUUCUUUAGGUCCUCCUCAGUUUCUGCCUCCUUCAUAAACGCUGUUUGUCUCUAAUGGUUUCUGCCUCUUCCAGUUUCCUAUUUCAUUUAUUAACUAUUUCAACUGUUUGGUUCCCCCAUACUGCUUAGUGAUGGGUUACACAAGAUAUUUACCAGGAAUGGUGGUGCACAUCUGUAAUCCCAGCAGCUCCAGAGGCUGAAGCAGGAGGAUCCUGAGUUCAAAGCCAGCCUCAGCAAAAGUGAGGUGCUAAGCAACUCAGACC